rnacentral:lncRNA from 1 species
AUGGGUGCAUGUGCCUACGAGCUGGUCAAAGGGGUAGACUGCCCCUAUUCAGCCACCUACAUAGACACAGUCCAUUUUGUGGACUCUGGAGUUCCACGCCGGAUCAGAAACUCAGUUUGUGUUUUUGAACACGACUUUGGCCAACCACUGCGGAGGCACUUCUCUGAGAUAGUCUACAACAGUUAUGGAGGACUGGCCAAUAACGCCUUGGUGUUCAGGACAAUCACAGUUAUUGAGAACUACGAUUAUGUUUGGGAUUUCAUUUUCUACCAGAGUGGCUCAGUGGAGGCUAAAGUGCACGCCUCAGGCUACAUUGCAUCAUCCUUCAAAGUUAAUGAUAACUUUAAAUUUGGUCAUCAAGUAGCGGAGAAUGUCACUGGAAACAUCCACACUCACUUCCUCAACUUUAAGGUGGAUCUUGAUGUUUCAGGUAAGUGAAACUGAAAACCGUGGAAAAUAUCAAAAUUGUACACAUACCAUUCUUCACCUUGAUUUUUUUACAAUUGUACUCAAUAUCAAACAUUUAUCAACAUAAAACCUUAAAAAGCUGAAAAGUCAUGGACACUUGGAAAUAUGCAGGUCUAGAUAGAGUCAUAUGUAGUAUGUCCUUACCACAGGAGUGAAGAACGUUUUCCAGACCAAAGACAUGGAGUUUGUAAAUGUCUCGCUGCCCUGGAUGCCUGAACGCUACGCCAUGAUCCCUCAGCUGGUGGAGAAACAGCUUCAAACAGAGCAGGUGCAGUACUACUUUAAACACCAAACACUGUUACUAACAUCUCAUAAAUACCUGUAUGUUUACCAGCAGAGGUAGAGACAACUGUUUCCACUCUUGUGCCAGAAUUUAUUUGCAACUUAUUUGUCAUUUUGGUAACAUUUUGUGACCUUAUAGGACGGACGUGCCACCUUACCCAAAAAGUUGUCUAUUGGGAGAGAUGGGCAGCAUUCAUAGGGACUAUGCAACAUGUACAAUAAUCAAAAACAAGUUGUACAACACAAAGCCUUAAACAUAGAUGCAUAAAUAGCCUAAAUAGUCGAUGACUAUGAGGUGGCAGCCCUUGUCUUUACACUUGCUUGCCCUUUUAUGUGUCUGAUAAUUAAACAUUUCUAUCAGACACAAAAUCCAUGCUGUAUUGUUCAGUAUAUGAACUUAUAAUGUCAUAAUGUGAUACUGGACCUAACCCCUGGCUAGAAGUACCUUUGAGAUAGGGAUCAUUUUGACCCUCACAGGAAGCCGCACUCAGUCCUGAAGCCAAGAUUCCUCGAUACCUUCACAUUGCAAGCAACCAAACCAACCGCUGGGGUCAUCAGCGCUCCUACAGGUUGCAGGUGUUCAGCUUCACUGGAGAUCACCUCCCACAGAGCCAGGCAGAGGAGAAGGCCAUGUCCUGGGCCAGGUAAGAAACAGCAUCGACAAAAGUCUUUAUAACCAAUCUUCAUCCUGUUUCUCCACACCACUGAUUUUGAGUCAUCCCCUUAUCGCCCAUUUCUUCCCUCUUCCUGGAGUCUGAAGUAACUCUUCUUCCUUUAGGUAUAGGGUUGCCAUUACUAAACACAAGGACAUGGAGCAGAGUGUUGGCAGUCUGUACAAUCAGCAUGACAUCUGGAAUCCAGCUGUUGACUUCAGCAAGUUCAUUGAAGAUAAUGAAAGCAUUGAAAAUGAGGUGUGUGUGUUGACAUCGUGAACUUCUAGAAAUAAUAGAAAUUGAUCAAAGGGUUAACACGUACCUCCCAUUCCUUCCUCAUUUCUUUUUAGGACCUGGUUGCCUGGGUGACCACUGGUUUCCUCCACAUCCCCCAUGCUGAGGACAUCCCCAACACAGUAACAGUCGGCAACGGGGGCGGGGUUCUGCUGCGUCCACACAACUACUUUAACGAGGAUCCAUCCAUCCACUCUGCAGACGGAGUCUACUUUGCUCCUGGCACAGAGGAAAGCUGUGAUAACAAUAAGAUGGCCUGCCUUUCUCAGGAAACUUGCAGCCCAGUGAUGGAUCCCUUCACCUACCAUGGUUUCAAAUGAAAACUUCACAGACUCAUAAGCAGGAUGCCAGAUAACGCUGCCAUGGUCUCAUUUUAUGUCUGUGAUUUGAUUUUGUUUGGCUGCAUCAAAAGCUUGAAUAAAACUACAAAUAGAAAAGAAAAAAACUCUCUAACUUGUUUCUCUGUGACACUUGAAACAGCGGCGAAAUAUUUCAUACAGCCUGCAUAUUAGAUACAAUGGAUAAAGCAACGUUACUCUUAUAAUUUAGCUUAGUCAUUUUGAGAAAUCUGAAGUCUGAGAGUUUCGUGUUGUGUUGGUCAAGAUUAAGGCAGUUAGACUUAGUUUUUAGUGUCAUUAUAGUCAGUGUUUGUUUAGCCAUCAUGUCGAUCAAGAUUUUCUUAGUUUUAUGCUAGUUUUAUUUAUUUAUUAUUUAUCUUUUUAAGAUAUUUCUCCUGGUUUCCACCUUUAUGUAUUCACUGAAAAUUAGAGUAGAAUAAUUAUUCCUUGUAAUGCAAAUUGUUGAUGGCACAAAAUCUGAACACAUAUUCCCUAUUUUCUACAUUAAGUUACAUUUAGUUGAUUUAUGUUUUCCUUGAGGGUCUGUAUAUGAAUCUAAAGAAAUCAUGAAUCAUAUAUCAGAGGGUGAAUGUAGAUGUAUUAUGUAGCAGGGCUCCAUUUAAUCUAUGAUUGGUGGAUAGAGCACAGCUUGCCUAUUGCUAACACACGUUCUGUCUGUUGUCUCCAGUUGUUUAUAUGUUUCAUGUCUUGUGCAACCUGUUUAAUUUUGAUACUCACAGCUGUCUCUUGCUCAGGUCCAUUGACUCCCAGUCCGCCUGUGCUUCCUAUCCUAGAUCAUCCUCAUGUGCCACAUCUCUGUCUCAUGUUUCUGCUCUCCAUGAGUUGUCAGUGUUUCCUCCUUUCUGGGCUUGAACUGACACCCAUUUUUUUCUGAAACCGAACAUAAUAGAACCAGGAAAGUUUGUCAGAUGAUUAAACAGAAGUCUGAACCUCAUUUUAACCAAAGGUGCUGCUACUGCAUUUCGCCUUUGUGGGGCAGUAUUGUUCAAAAUGUACAAACUAUCAUGUGCAGGUUUCAUGCAUAGACUAGUCAAAAACUUACACAGCAAAACAUACCUACAUUGCUUUAAGUGUUUUUUAGUUAUGUUUUUGUCAGAGCAUUUAAGACAUCAAAAUUUUAUCUUUGAGUAAUGUUUACUACUACUGUUAUCAUUUAGGCUUUCCUGUUCACACAACUCUGCCAUUAAGUGAUUAAUUUCACCACUUUAGUUGUUCUGUUUUUAGAGGUACAGAAGGAAGUCACAUAUCUUCUCUUACUGUUUAACGCCCCCCCCUUUUCAACGUAACCUGUAAAACCAGCAGCCUCACCCAUCACCUGUCUGUCAACACAGCUUUCGUUUUCUCUCCACGACACCUGUUGCCAUCUACGAAGAAAUGGCCUGUGAAACUAAUUGCACACUUUGUAACUGCCUCCUGAUUUUUGCAUUUGUUAUUUCGCUGAUAAUUAACUUUGUUUUGAUGGGGCGUAACAAUCAGUGCACUCCGCCGUGUCCUGCUCAUCAGGUAAACUCUGACCGACCUGUGAUCCACAAUGAGCGCAGCGUCGUCUUUGCCGACCUCUCUGAAGAGGAGAUUCUGCAGGUGCGUGACUUCAUGUUUAAGAUCAUCGGGAUGAACAUCGCAUCAGAUGAAUAUUCUCUUCCUUCAGCUGACUAUCUGUUUAUGAUUGAACUCUCCAUGCCGAAGAAACAGGAGGUUUUGCACUACCUUGAUGCAAACGGGCAGAAACCAGCAAGAGAGGCAACUGCUGUGGUUUUUCACGGCAGUCAAAACAACAUCAAGGAAUAUGUAGUUGGUCCUCUUCCCAACCCAACCUACCACCGAGAUGUCACUGCUGAGAGGUACAAGAGAGAGAUCCCUCUGACUGCACGUCCAGUUAUAUUUAAGGAAUAUACUCUUAUGGAAACGUUCCUGAAAAAUGAAACUGAGCCAGUAAGUACGCUCAUGAACGAAAGCUUUGGUUUAGCACCGUCAUCAUCCCACAUUUACUAUGAUAACAUGCCAAGAGGGGUCAAAUCAGGGGACAGACAGUCAUGGAUUGCGCCCGGCAGAAAAGAGGAGGGCUUUUACAUCCAUCCACUGAGCUUUGAAAUUUUAAUAGACCACCAAAGCACCAAUUCCUUAAACUGGCGUGUGAUUAAAGUGUUCUAUAAUGAUCAGUAUUUUGACAGCAUAUCAGAACUGAAGCAGCAAUAUGAGGCAGGGACUGUAAAGAAAAUCGUCUACAAACCUGUGAAAAAUUAUGCUUCGCUCAAACCCAGGAAGAAACCCACAGGUGUUGGACCCCAGCAGUUUUAUGUUCAAGGCAAAAGGUUCAGUAUAAAGGACAACAACAUCGUGUACUUGGACUGGAGUUUUGCCUUUGGUAUGAGCACCCUUAGAGGCGUGAGAGUGUUUGAUGUACAAUUUAGAGGUGAAAGGAUCAUCUAUGAGCUGAGUGUUCAGGAGGCCAUGUCAGUCUAUGGAUCUUCUACCCCAGUUUUAAUGUUCACCAAGUUUCUUGAUGGCAGUCUGAGCAUGGGUGCGUAUGCCUACGAGCUGGUCAAAGGGGUAGACUGCCCCUAUUCAGCCACCUACAUAGACACAAUGCAUUUUAUGGACUCUGGAGUUCCACGCCGGAUCAGAAACUCAAUUUGUGUUUUUGAACACAACUUUGGCCAACCACUGCGGAGGCACUUCUCUAAGAUAGUCUACAAAAGUUAUGGAGGACUGGCCAAUAACGCCUUGGUGUUCAGGACAAUCACAGUUAUUGAGAACUACGAUUAUGUUUGGGAUUUCAUUUUCUACCAAAGUGGCUCAGUGGAGGCUAAAGUGCACGCCACAGGCUACAUUGCAUCAUCCUUCAAAGUUAAUGAUAACUUUAAAUUUGGUCAUCAAGUAGCGGAAAACGUCACUGGAAACAUCCACACUCACUUCCUCAACUUCAAGGUGGAUCUUGAUGUUUUAGGUAAGGACCUGGAGAAGAUAACAAUGGUAUUUAAAUAUGUGUUGUGAAAAAAAAGUAAAUAUAAUAAACAUUAUUAAAACUUUAACAAAAAGAUAAAGUACAAAUAGAAGUAAUAUUAGACAUAAUUGCUUAACCUAAAAUGAAAUGUUUGAUGUCCCAGGAGUGAAGAACUUUUUCCAGACCAAAGACAUGGAGUUUGUAAAGGACUCGCUGCCCUGGAUGCCUGAACGCUACGCCAUGAUCCCUCAGCUGGUGGAGAAACAGCUUCAAACAGAGCAGGUGAAGAAUUAUUUCUAUAAUGGAUGUGUCUGAGAGCAAAGCAUCAGAUCCUGCAGACAUGAUAGAUGACACACUGAUGGAGCGAGACAUUCAUGUCAUGAAAAUAUGUUCAGGUUUUCAAAUAGAUGUGAAAUUUCUUUGGCCUGUUGUUGGCCAGAAAUCUAAAAAAUCAAUAACGGCCUCUACUGACGUCAAAGAGGAUAUAACUAUUGUGUAUGACUCAAAACAGGAAGCAGCACUGCCUCAUGACACCAAGACCCCACGAUACCUUCAUAUUGCAAGCAAGAAGACCAACCGUUGGGGGCAUCAGCGCUCCUACAGGCUACAAGUGUCCAGCAACACUGCAGACCACCUUCCACAGAGCCAGGCAGAGGAGAAGGCCAUGUCCUGGGCCAGGUAAGAAACAGGUUCAAAUGUUUCCUGAUCCAGAAUCCUGCUCCUUUUCGAUUUAUAGUUUUUCCGCAGCGCAAAGACAACUGAAGUCUGAUAUAAGUUUAUCUUCUGGCAGGUAUAAAGUUGCCAUAACUAAGCACAAGGACCUGGAACAGAGCAGCAGCAGUCUGUACAAUCAGCAUGAGAUCUGGGAUCCAGUUGUUGAUUUCAGCAAGUACAUAGACGAUAAUGAGAGCAUUGAAAAUGAGGUUUGUGUUCACAUUAUUUAAUCUCCCUAAAUUAUAACAAAACACACACCUUUAACUUUUCCUUGUUUCUUUUUAGGACCUGGUUGCCUGGGUGACCACUGGUUUCCUCCACAUCCCCCAUGCUGAGGACAUCCCCAACACAGUAACAGUCGGCAACGGGGGCGGGGUUCUGCUGCGUCCACACAACUACUUUGAUGAGGAUCCGUCCAUCCACUCUGCAGACGGAGUCUACUUUGUUUCAGGCACAGAGGAAAGCUGUGACAACAAUAAGAUGGCCUGCCUUUCUCAGGAAACUUGCAGCCCAGUGAUGGAUCCCUUCACCUACCAUGGUUUCGAAUGAUAACUUCACAGACUCAUAAGCAGGAUGCCCGAUAAUGCUGUGUGGGAACUCACAGGUUCAUGCUAAUUAUUUAACCAUCAAAUGUUCAUGCUAAUCAUUUAAUCAUUGAUGACAAUCAUUUAAUCAUUGUUUCAGGUAAUUAACUGUUUUCUUAUUGUGUUUACAUUAUUUUGUGUGCUCAUUGCGGACAUGUACUGAUGAGUCAGAUAAGAAGGUUUAAUGCUAACACGGGGGCAAUUGACCACUGUGUCACAAUGUAUAGAAGAGAGACUUUCAGUAUAGAAGGAUUUUAGCUUAUGCCUAGAAGUGCCAAGGGUUGGUAAGUAUGGUUUUAAACUGUUCGGCCUUAACAGUCAUUUAUUUGAAGUGUGUAUUAUAAUCAUAACAGUCAUUUAUUAAAAAGUGUGCUUUAUAAUCAUAAAUAAAUAAUAACUACUGAAAAAUAGUAAUCAGACCACCUCAGAGAUACCAUUGGGUUGAUGUUGUGCUCUCCAAGAUAUCUUGUGUUAUUUGCUGUGCCGAAAUAAAAGGUUUGUUGAAGACACCUUUUUGCCUCAUUGAAUCCUCUGUCCCAGUCUCCAUCAAUGGACUCGGGGGAGGUUUGGAAUAACUUCAACAAUUUUGGGGGCUCGUCUGGGAUGGAGUUCUGACAGAGCUUUUGAAUUCGAGAAAACUGUUCAGUGCAUCAGAGGAAAAGAGAUCUGGUCGACCACAAAAUAAGGUAAGCAGAAAACCUUUUUAACAGAAUUUCUGCCUAUCCGUGUUACUCUAAAUCAAAGAUCUCUUUAACUCUGUAUAUACUGAAUCCUAAAUUUAUUACGAGGCUCAUGAUAUUGUACUGGUACAUCUUGUGAUAUUCUGUGUUCUGACGAAGAGAGUAACUAUGUGUGAAAUGAAAAGUGAAACUUAAGAGAAGCCUGUGUGAAGGCCGCGAAAAGAGUCAUAAGGACCACCGCUCUGGGUUGUGGCAGACCCCACUAGUGCAGGGCUCUCAAGUCUCACACAUUCAGCGUGUGACACACGCAUUCCCACCCGUUCACACGCUCACACGCCACACAUUGUAUUUCUCACGCAUUUAAAUGAACAUGGUGAUGUCCACCAAGUUGCACCUCUUUAACUAUGGAACAGAAAGGAAUCAACUGAGUUCCUCCGAGAGUUCAGAAGCUGCGUGCCACGCGCAAGCCAAUCAAAUAAAGUAUAUCUACUGAACAGCCAAUCAAAAAGCAGCAUUGCUGUAUCCGGGUAGAUUUUGAUAUCUUAGGUUUGACUACAGAAGAAGACAGACACUCGCCGUAAUAGAGCAGGCCUCAUUUUAUGUCUGUCAUUUGAUUUUGUUUGGCUGCAUCUAAAGCUUGAAUAAAACUACAAAUAGAAAAGAAAAAAACUCUCUAACUUGUUUCUCUGUAACACUUGAGACAGCGGCGAAAGAUCUCCGAAAUAUUUCAUACAGCCUGCAUUUUAGAUACAAUGCAUAAAGCAACGUUACUCUUACAAUUUAGCUUAUUCAUUGUUUUAGUCAAGAUUAAGGCAGUUAGACUUAGUUUUUAUUGUCAUUAUAGUCAGUGUUUGUUUAGCCAUCAUGUUGGUCAAGAUUUUCUGCUAGUUUUAUUAAUUUAUUUUUUAUCUAUUUAAGAUAUUUCUCCUGGUUUCCACCUUUAUAGAUUCACUGAAAAUUAGAGUAGAAUAAUCAUUCCUUGUAAUGCAAAUUGUUGAUGGCACAAAAUCUGAACACAUAUUCCCUAUUUUCUACAUUAAGAUACAUUUAGUUGAUUUAUGUUUUCCUUGAGGGUCAGUGUAUGAGUCUAAAGAACUCAUGAAUCAUAUAUUAGAGGGUGAAUGUAGAUGUAUAAUGUAGCGGGGCUCCAUUUAAUCUAUGAUUGGUGGAUAGAGCACAGCUUGCUUAUUGCUAACAAACGUUCUGUCUGUUGUCUCCAGUUGUUUAUAUUUUUCAUGUCUUGUGCAACCUGUUUAAUCUUGAUACUCACAGCUGUCUCUUGCUCAGGUCCAUUGACUCCCAGUCCGCCUGUGCUUCCUAUCCUAGAUCAUCCUCAUGUGCCACAUCUCUGUCUCAUGUCUCUGCUCUCCAUGAGUUGUCAGUGUUUCCUCCUUUCUGGGCUUGAACUGACACCCAUUUUUUUCUGAAACUAAACAUAAUAGAACCAGGAAAGUUUGUCAGAUGAUUAAACAGAAGUCUGAACCUAAUUCUAAGCAAAGGUGCUGCUACUGCACUUCGCCUUUGUGGGGCAGUAUUGUUCUAAAUGUACAAACUAUCAUGUGCAGGUUUCAUGCAUAGACUAGUCAAAAACUUACACAGCAAAACAUACCGACAUUGCUUGAAGUGUUUUUUAGUUAUGUUAUUGUCAGAGCAUUUAAGACAUCAAAAUUUAAUCUCUGAGUAAUGUUUACUACUACUGUUAUCAUGUGGGCAUACCUGUUCACACAACUCUGCCGUUAAGUGAUUAAUUUCACCACUUUAGUUGUUCUGUUUUUUAAAAGUACAGAAUGAAGUCACAUAUCCUCUCUUACUGUUUAACGCCCCCCCCCC